GGUCAGACAGUUAUUGCCUUUUUUCUUUAUUCUUAUUACUAUGCAAGCAUGAAAAAGCUAGUUACGUGUGACCAUAGUUAUCAAAGCUUUAUUAAUUUUUUUAAGAUUUCAGCAAAAUAAACAGUUGGAAUUAGACAGCGGAUAUUACUAGUUGAGUAAAAGUGGAGUGAAAUUAAGUUAAAAUUGUUGUGGACAUAUAGUUUGAAAUUAUUAUACUAAUGGUAUGACUUAUUAUAGAUGCUGGCGCAUAUGUAGCACGCAAGAUUAGUGCAGCUAUUUCGCGAUCCAGCUCAAAACAAGUUACUUUUGAAAGCACCUGUGGAUUAAGUAAUCAAAAAUGCACAAUGCAGUCAUUAGAAUCAGUUAAAAAACAACCUGAUACAGAAAACGAAGAUAUUAAAGAACCUCAAAAAACAUCAAAAGCUUUAUUGCAAGAUAUUAGCAAGAUUUCAUAACUGAAUUUAAAUUUUUAAAUUGUUUUCUAUUGUAAUUUUUUAUGCAAUAUUAUUUUAUGAAUACAUUUUAUUUAACAUUUAAAAAUCGAUGAAAUGUAUGAUUUAUUAGAUAUAUUGCAUACUGUAAUAACGCAUACUUUAAAAAAAUAUUUAAUUUAAUAAUA
rnacentral:lncRNA from 1 species